rnacentral:other from 1 species
CGGGUGCUGCCUGGUGCGUCAGGCCGCUACUGUCCCUGGGGCCAAUACCGUUCUCUCGGGAGCUGUCCCUGCCGGGAUCGUGGUCCCGGUACAUGGCGCCCACCUGCGAUAGCAGGCCGCAGAGGACUCGCACAUGCCGACGGCCGAGGCGGCCCCGCU